UACGUAGGGGGCUAGCGUUGUCCGGAAUCAUUGGGCGUAAAGAGCGUGUAGGCGGCCCGGUAAGUCCGCUGUAAAAGUCAAAGGCUCAACCUUUGAAUGUCAGUGGAUACUGCCGGGCUAGAGUCCGGAAGAGGCGAGUGGAACUCCUGGUGUAGCGGUGGAAUGCGCAGAUAUCAGGAAGAACACCAACGGCGAAGACAGCUCGCUGGGACGGUACUGACGCUGAGACGCGAAAGCGUGGGGAGCGAACAGG
rnacentral:rRNA from 1 species